rnacentral:misc_RNA from 1 species
GUAUUGUAUUGCGUUAAACGCGACAUACAUUCCAUGAGACUGUAUUACGGUGUGUGUGUAAAGACGUAGGACCACGGCAAGAGGACAGAGUCCCCAAUGCCACAGAACUACAGAGGGUGCACAGGUGUGAGUGGAUGUGUAAACAGAGCGUGCACAUGCCCCCUUUCGAGGACCAGCAACAACUCGUGUCGACAGUUCAGUAAUGAUCCUUCCGCAGGUUCACCUACGGAAA